GACAGAGGGUGCAAACGUUGUUCGGAAUUACUGGGCGUAAAGCGCGUGUAGGCUGCUCCGCAAGUCGGGUGUGAAAGCCCUGGGCUCAACCCAGGAAGUGCACUCGAAACUGCAGAGCUUGAGUCCUGGAGAGGAAGGCGGAAUUCUCGGUGUAGAGGUGAAAUUCGUAGAUAUCGAGAGGAACACCGGUGGCGAAGGCGGCCUUCUGGACAGUGACUGACGCUGAGACGCGAAAGCGUGGGGAGCAAACAGG
rnacentral:rRNA from 1 species